AUUAAAAAGGAAACAUCUUUCUAUGUUUGGAAUGUGAGAAAUUGUAGAGGAAGCAUCUUUCUCUAAUUCUCUCAUCAGAUUCUGCUCCAGCAACUCUGAUUUGCUCUGUGUCUUGUCUUGUCUAUGGAGACAGUAAUCUGAGUUUUUCUGAGUGUUUAAUGUUGGUUUACAACUACCUACUUUGUUGCUGCUGUUUUUUAUUGUGGCUGUGAAUUUUGAUGGAGCUCGAUUGGUUUCUGGGUCGGUGGAAAUCUUGGUGAAUUUGUAGGGAGCCAUAUGAGGAAUGGGAACUGAAGUGCAGUUGAAGAGGUAUUUCCCGGGAUAUUAUUCCAUACAGAACCUAAGCAGCGCUGUCAGCCAUGGGAGCCGGUUCCGACUCCACGAGAACAGAAACUUGAAGAAUGGGCAACAAUAUGAAGUAUUCUUGACAAGGCCAGUUACUGAUGUAAUUUUAUAGGUUUAUGCCGAAUCUGAGUUUUCCUUGAUUCAGUUUCGCGUAUUCUGAGUGAACUUGUAUGAUUAAUCAGAAUAAGUUUACAGAAAAAUCUGUUAAACUGAUGAAUUGUAACAUAAACUGCAAGAGCGUUGUACUGCCCAAAUCAGGUUUUAGAGAGGAAUUGUGAUGUUUUUCAA